rnacentral:tRNA from 1 species
GGCUCUGUAGUGAAAUUCAUGGUGGAUUGCAAGUCCAUUGAUGUACAUUAAUUGUGUGCCAGAGUCU